rnacentral:rRNA from 1 species
AUUGAACGCUGGCGGCAUGCUUUACACAUGCAAGUCGAACGGUAACAGCACUUCGGUGGCUGACGAGUGGCGAACGGGUGAGUAAUACAUCGGAACGUGCCUAGUAGUGUGGGAUAACUACUCGAAAGAGUAGCUAAUACCGCAUGAGAUCUAAGGAUGAAAGCAGGGGACCUUCGGGCCUUGCGCUACUAGAGCGGCUGAUGGCAGAUUAGGUAGUUGGUGGGAUAAAAGCUUACCAAGCCGACGAUCUGUAGCUGGUCUGAGAGGACGACCAGCCACACUGGGACUGAGACACGGCCCAGACUCCUACGGGAGGCAGCAGUGGGGAAUUUUGGACAAUGGGCGCAAGCCUGAUCCAGCAAUGCCGCGUGCAGGAUGAAGGCCUUCGGGUUGUAAACUGCUUUUGUGCGGAACGAAAAGCCCUCUUCUAAUACAGGAGGGUCAUGACGGUACCGUAAGAAUAAGCACCGGCUAACUACGUG